UUACUACUCCCUCCGUUCGGAAUUACUUGUCGUAGAAAUGGAUAUAUCUAGAUGUAUUUUAGUUCUAGAUACAUCCAUUUCCGAGACAAGUAAUUCCGAACGGAGGGAGUAGUAU
rnacentral:pre_miRNA from 1 species